CAGCAGUUCCCAAAAUAUUAGUCAAUGCUCGAAAGAGUGAACUAGCUACUGAAUCAAUUAAAAUAAUAAUUGAUAACAUAAGGGAAAAUAAUGAUAUUACCUUAUUAUUAGUGUCGUCCAAAACUGGUGCCAGAAGACUCGGUAAGGCCAGAGACAUAAACGUUAAUCGUCUUAAUCAGGCGUAAAGGGUUUGUAGGCGGCUUUAAAAUUUACUAAUAAACACAAAUUAUAAGUAAAGAAUAAAAGCUAGAAUCAAAUAGAGGAUAUAUGAAAGAAUGCUUAGAGUAGGUCCGAUAUCCUUAGAUACUAAGUAGAAUAUUAAAGGCGAAAGCUUUUUUCCAUUAAUGAUUGACGCUCAGAAACGAAGGUGAGGAUAGGAAAUAGGAUUAGAUACCCAGAAUACCCCUCUCUGUCAACGAUGAAUGGUAGUUAUUAGUAUAAAUUUAUUAAUGGCAAUGUUAACACGAUAACCAUUCCGCCUUGUGAGUACAACUGCAAAGUUGAAAACAAAAAAAUUAGUCGGUUUCGGAGCAAACGAAGUGAAGCAUGUUAUUUAAUUCAAUUAAAUCCGCA
rnacentral:rRNA from 1 species